CACGAACUGCGCGAACGUUAUUCGGAAUCACUGGGCUUAAAGAGUUCGUAGGCGGCAUGGUAGGUGGGGUGUGAAAUCCCUCGGCUCAACCGAGGAACUGCGCCCCAAACCCCCAUGCUCGAGGGAGACAGAGGAAAGCGGAACUGAUGGUGGAGCGGUGAAAUGCGUUGAUAUCAUCAGGAACACCGGUGGCGAAAGCGGCUUUCUGGGUCUUUUCUGACGCUGAGGAACGAAAGCUAGGGGAGCGAACGGG
rnacentral:rRNA from 1 species